CAGCCGCCGCGGGAAUACGGAGGGUGCAAGCGUUAAUCGGAAUUACUGGGCGUAAAGCGCACGCAGGCGGUUUGUUAAGUCAGAUGUGAAAUCCCCGAGCUUAACUUGGGAACUGCAUUUGAAACUGGCAAGCUAGAGUCCUGUAGAGGGGGGUAGAAUUCCAGGUGUAGCGGUGAAAUGCGUAGAGAUCUGGAGGAAUACCGGUGGCGAAGGCAGCCAUCUGGCCUAAUACUGACGCUGAGGUACGAAAGCAUGGGGAGCAAACAGGAUUAGAUACCCCGGUAGUCCCUGUCUCUUAUAC
rnacentral:rRNA from 1 species